rnacentral:rRNA from 1 species
GACGAACGCUGGCGGCGUGCUUAACACAUGCAAGUCGAGCGGUAAGGCCCUUUCGGGGGUACACGAGCGGCGAACGGGUGAGUAACACGUGGGUGACCUGCCCUCAGCUCUGGGAUAAGCCUGGGAAACCGGGUCUAAUACCGGAUAUGACUCCAUGACGCAUGUUGUGGGGUGGAAAGCCUUGUGCGGCUGAGGAUGGGCCCGCGGCCUAUCAGCUUGUUGGUGGGGUGAUGGCCUACCAAGGCGACGACGGGUAGCCGGCCUGAGAGGGCGACCGGCCACACUGGGACUGAGACACGGCCCAGACUCCUACGGGAGGCAGCAGUGGGGAAUAUUGCGCAAUGGGCGAAAGCCUGACGCAGCGACGCCGCGU